rnacentral:rRNA from 1 species
AUUGAACGCUGGCGGCAGGCCUAACACAUGCAAGUCGAGCGAGCGGCGGAGGGGAGAGUAAUGCCUGGGAAUUGCACAGUCGAGGGGGAUAACAGUUGGAAACGACUGCUAAUACCGCACACGAUUGGAUUGCCCAGGUGGGAUUAGCUAGUUGGUGAGGUAAGGGCUCACCAAGGCUACGAUCCCCAGAUGGUCUGAGAGGAUGAUCAGCCACACUUGAACUGAGACCCGGCCCAGACUCCUACGUGAGGCAGCAGUGGGUAAUAUUGCACAAUGGGGGAAACCCUGAUGCAGCCAUGCCGCGUGUGUGAAGAAGGCCUUCGGGUUGUAAAGCACGUUCAGCGAGGAGGCGUUACUCGCAGAAGAAGCACUGGCUAACUCCGUGCCAGCAGCCGCGGUAAUUC